AAAAAAAGAAGAAGAGGAAACUGUCAUUUAAAAGACCCUAGGUUUGUCCUCGUCUGAAACGUGAGGGCAUCUUAUCUCAGCUGACAUGGGAAGAGAGUGCUGGUUUUGAUACUGAUAGAAGCUGAAGUUGGAGACAUAUAAGAGGCUUUGAGAGUCCCUCACGUGACAGAGGAAUGUCACAGCUGCGUGAGCCGUGUUUGUAUUAAUUAAUCAGCCCACAAAACCUCAAGUUCCCGCUCUUUUCAAUUCCUCUCUCUUUACGAAAAAGGGCUUGAGUUCUAAAAGUCAUACAGCACCUACAAGCUGAUAAAAGUCCUUUUAAAUUUUGAAUAUUAGAUUAUUUAAAUGUUAUAUUCAUGCCACAAUUAGAUUUUCCAUAAGGUUACAUUAUUCAUCACUCAUGUGUUAGUUGUCAACCGAUAUCUUGCAUUGCAAACAAGUCAGUCAAACUUAGACCUUUAGGGGCCGUUCACACAGAACAUCUUUGCAUUUAAAAACGUGAAAAGCAGGGCAGUGGAAGGAAAAAAAUCACAAGGUUUCGAGAUAUCUUUUAAAAGCUGAAAUCCCAUGAAAUGUAACUUUUGAUUUAUAAUGCUGUGCCAUGAGCAAUACACUGCAAAAGACGUGAAAAGAUCUAAAACCAUCUAGCACAUGUUUACAU